GGUAAGGUGGCUCAGUGGUAGAGUGCUUGCCUUGCAUGCAUGAGGCCCUGGGUUCAAUUCCUCAGUACCA
rnacentral:tRNA from 1 species